CACGAAGGGGGCUAGCGUUGCUCGGAAUUACUGGGCGUAAAGCGCACGUAGGCGGCUUUCUAAGUCGGGGGUGAAAUCCUGGAGCUCAACUCCAGAACUGCCUUCGAUACUGGAGAGCUCGAGUCCGGGAGAGGUGAGUGGAACUGCGAGUGUAGAGGUGAAAUUCGUAGAUAUUCGCAAGAACACCAGUGGCGAAGGCGGCUCACUGGCCCGGUACUGACGCUGAGGUGCGAAAGCGUGGGGAGCGAUCCGG
rnacentral:rRNA from 1 species